rnacentral:lncRNA from 1 species
GGAGAGGACGCUCUGCCCCAGACCCGGACAAUCAGCACUCCCACCCGCCGUGCAAACUAUUGAGACUUCCCGGGCUAACUGUGGUGUGGAUGUCGUGUUCCUUUGAUACAGCGGAAGGUGCCUCUGCUCUUCUGCCUGAGAGUGGUUCAAAAUGUAAGUUCAGCAAACCAAAUAAUCAAAUAUUGAUAAUUCUGGAGCUCUAUGCAGAAUGGUUCUUCCCACUUUCAUUCCUUCUACUCAAGACUCUAGCCUCAUAAAUAAGAGUCUAGAAGGAGAUGAUAUCAUCCCCUUGGGUUGGGGGAGGGGUGCCUCACUUAGACCAACAUUUCUUCACUGCACAGCACUGGAACUUUACAUACGGUCGCCAGCACAGCCAUCGAUUGGCAUUCUUCUCUACCCCUCCCUACCACAUUAUUUUUCUGGUAAUAGGAUAUGAACCUUUGGUGUCUGGGUAAUGCUGAACUGACACUUCCCCAGAUGUCACGUCUUUCUGGGUGGCCCUGCCUAUUCUAAUCUUCUCCUAGCUCCAGCAGAUGGAUUCCAAUACAUAGACACAUGCAGCCUCACAGCAGAGUUCUUUUGUGCCACGAAAUCCUAUGCCCACUCCCGAGCUACCUUUCCUACCACGUACGUUCACUAAAUGCUCCUUUAGCUCAGCUGAUGAAGGUCAUGCUGCUGGGAUCUGGUCCACUUCAGUUAUAAAAUGGAAAGUGUUAGAAUAUGCAGGAGGCCGCUGCUGUUUCACACAAAGAUGAUGGAUGGUGUGGGAUCCCACAGAUUUCCCGGGGAUGGGUCCACCUUCUCCACUUUGUGGCUAUCGAAUGCUUCAAAGUAUGGCUCUUUACGGAGGGAACUGUCUGUUCUCGGAAAGGAACCCAGUGCUGGUUUAGACCCCUCCCUACUUCGUUAGAGAUCUCAACAUAUAUUUUAAGAUAUUUUUGAAAAAUCCUUAGGCAUUUAAUGCAUUUCAUCAGUGGUCAGGCUCUAGAAAGCUGAUUUUUGUUAGGAAAAACGUCUCUCCUACCUUCUCUUGCCCUUUCUUUUCUGCCUUCCUGUUUCUGCCCUCUUGCCCAAAACAUGGAUUUCCAUGUAAUUCAGCUCACUAAAGAUCUCUCCAUUUUUGUUUCACUGCAGAGUUUAUUGCUAGAGCGACUAAUAGACUUUCAGCACAAAUAGUAUAUUGAUCACUUGAAAUCUUGUUUGAGCUUCACUGAAUAUACAUAAUGGGGUGUCAAUCAGGGAAAAAAAUCUCAUAAUAAAUGGCAGGCGACUUAUAUUCAUGAGAAAAUAUGUCUUGGGCAGCACACAAAAUAUCAUGUUUACUGUAGCAUGACAGACUGAUUUCGCUGGUCUCCAUCACAUUCAUCGAGUGGAUAUUUAAUAGCAAAGGCAAGGUUAGAGUAUGAAGAUCCUGGAACCUUUCUUUCUUUGUUUGUAUGGGGGAGCAUUUUUGCACACUCUCUAGAGUAUAAACAUCUUCGAGAACCACAGCCAGCAAGAAAGAUCUUUUCUACCUGAGGAAUUCAGAAAUUGCAAACAAAUCUGUUUAAGUUGGUGUAUAUUUAAAAGCAGCUACUGAUUUAUGCAGUCCAUAUUUUUUAAGUUUUUA